AAGAUAGUAGUGUAAUUUUGCACACUUGAUUUUCAUUCAAGUAGAAUAUUAAUAUCUAUCUUU
rnacentral:tRNA from 1 species